rnacentral:rRNA from 1 species
GUGUUGUUGGGUAGGGGAGCGUUCUGUAAGCCGUUGAAGGUGUCCUGUGAGGGGUGCUGGAGGUAUCAGAAGUGCGAAUGCUGACAUAAGUAACGAUAAAGCGGGUGAAAAGCCCGCUCGCCGGAAGACCAAGGGUUCCUGUCCAACGUUAAUCGGGGCAGGGUGAGUCGACCCCUAAGGCGAGGCCGAAAGGCGUAGUCGAUGGGAAACGGGUUAAUAUUCCCGUACUUGGUGUUACUGCGAAGGGGGGACGGAGAAGGCUAUGUUGGCCGGGCGACGGUUGUCCCGGUUUAAGCGUGUAGGUGUGUGUUCCAGGUAAAUCCGGUUCACUUUAACACUGAGGCGUGAUGACGAGGCACCACGGUGCUGAAGCAACAAAUGCCCUGCUUCCAGGAAAAGCCUCUAAGCAUCAGGUAACAUCAAAUCGUACCCCAAACCGACACAGGUGGUCAGGUAGAGAAUACCAAGGCGCUUGAGAGAACUCGGGUGAAGGAACUAGGCAAAAUGGUGCCGUAACUUCGGGAGAAGGCACGCUGACACGUAGGUGAAGUGAUUUACUCAUGGAGCUGAAGUCAGUCGAAGAUACCAGCUGGCUGCAACUGUUUAUUAAAAACACAGCACUGUGCAAACACGAAAGUGGACGUAUACGGUGUGACGCCUGCCCGGUGCCGGAAGGUUAAUUGAUGGGGUCAGCGCAAGCGAAGCUCCUGAUCGAAGCCCCGGUAAACGGCGGCCGUAACUAUAACGGUCCUAAGGUAGCGAAAUUCCUUGUCGGGUAAGUUCCGACCUGCACGAAUGGCGUAAUGAUGGCCAGGCUGUCUCCACCCGAGACUCAGUGAAAUUGAACUCGCUGUGAAGAUGCAGUGUACCCGCGGCAAGACGGAAAGACCCCGUGAACCUUUACUAUAGCUUGACACUGAACAUUGAGCCUUGAUGUGUAGGAUAGGUGGGAGGCUUUGAAGCGUGGACGCCAGUCUGCGUGGAGCCGACCUUGAAAUACCACCCUUUAAUGUUUGAUGUUCUAACGUGGACCCGUAAUCCGGGUUGCGGACAGUGUCUGGUGGGUAGUUUGACUGGGGCGGUCUCCUCCUAAAGAGUAACGGAGGAGCACGAAGGUUGGCUAAUCCUGGUCGGACAUCAGGAGGUUAGUGCAAUGGCAUAAGCCAGCUUGACUGCGAGCGUGACGGCGCGAGCAGGUGCGAAAGCAGGUCAUAGUGAUCCGGUGGUUCUGAAUGGAAGGGCCAUCGCUCAACGGAUAAAAGGUACUCCGGGGAUAACAGGCUGAUACCGCCCAAGAGUUCAUAUCGACGGCGGUGUUUGGCACCUCGAUGUCGGCUCAUCACAUCCUGGGGCUGAAGUAGGUCCCAAGGGUAUGGCUGUUCGCCAUUUAAAGUGGUACGCGAGCUGGGUUUAGAACGUCGUGAGACAGUUCGGUCCCUAUCUGCCGUGGGCGCUGGAAGACUGAGGGGGGCUGCUCCUAGUACGAGAGGACCGGAGUGGACGCAUCACUGGUGUUCGGGUUGUCAUGCCAAUGGCACUGCCCGGUAGCUAAAUGCGGAAAAGAUAAGUGCUGAAAGCAUCUAAGCACGAAACUUGCCCC